AUGCUAGACAAUACAAUAAACAAAGUAGCAGAAGUUCUUUCUACAGAGGAAAUGGAAGAAUGGCAGCCUAAAAAGUUCAGUACAAUGGACAAGACUUGAGCAGGAAGAUGUUGCAUAGAGGAAUUCGAUAGCAUGCAGGAACAUAUUGAGCAAGAAAAUUUUGUGCAAGAGGAUAUUUCUUAUAGGGAGGAAUUAAAUAGUCUAGUGAAAGUUUAUCUUGCCAGUGUAUGGGACCAUCAGAUUGGCAAAAAGUGAGCGAGCCUUCUUUCAUUUUUCCAAGAAUCAGGCUGUUCUUAGCGUUUUAAUUUUUUUUUCAUGUCAAAGAAAUAUGGUUAUAUGUAGCCUUCAAUUCAAUUUCUGCUUUUUGACAAGUAAAUAUUCCAGUAGGAACUGCAAUUUAUAUAGAAAAUUUUGAGCUUUGAAGGAAGGUCGAUUAACUUUAAAUCUGAUAAUAGCAGACCAGUACAAUUCAUAGAUUCUGUGUAUUACAAAGAAGCUGCGUUUCCCAAGUGCAAAAGACUAUUCUUUGUGAACAGGUAGCGUAUAUUAUAAACUGAUAUAAAUAUAGAGAGGCUUUGUCCGUGGAUUGUGAGGAAUUCUCAUUGCUUAUUUGGCCCUAGCUUCUAGAAUUUACGAGAAAAUAAACGGUGGCAGCGUUAUAUAACGGGAUGCUGGAUGACUCCACUAUGCUUACGGCUCCUGUUUUCUUUCCUUUGAGUAAUUUCAUUGCCGAAUCAGGGGACAAAAGAUUAUUCCCCACUGAGUCCCACCUUCACCCCUCUGUUCCAUAUGUAUCUUCUUCCAAAUAAACGAUUGCAGUUCCUAAGAUCACAUUCUGCAGCGGCAGGUGAAGCGUCCGUAUCUACGGUCUUUUUCUGGUUAUUCCGUGAUUUCUCUUUUUUCCAUAGAAAUUGUGCAUAAACAUGAUCUUAUCUGCGCACGCGAUUAGAUCUGCAUUCGAUACAUGUCCACAGGAAACAGUGUCUGCGAGAACGAAAGGAAGGACUUUAAUGAAUUGCCUGAUUAAAAUUCCAAAUCCACCGCAGAUUCUUCAGAUUCUACUGGUCUGCUGCAGUCCGUAUCUAUUAAUGGUUAUUUGACUUUCCUCCAAAUUUCAAAACCAACGAAACGUUUGGUAAAUUAGGGUGAAUGAAUAUAUAAAUUUUCUUACCAAUGUUCGGGUUGCGUGACUGCAGGCAGCCCAGUCCGCGCGCGGUCAAGUUUUGCGCCAUUAUGGUUGCGUGACCAUUAUACUUUUAUUUAUUAGCGCGGUCGUAAAGUUUAGCAUGC